rnacentral:rRNA from 3 species
UGCAGUCGAGCGGACAGAAGGGAGCUUGCUCCCGGAUGUUAGCGGCGGACGGGUGAGUAACACGUGGGUAACCUGCCUGUAAGACUGGGAUAACUCCGGGAAACCGGAGCUAAUACCGGAUAGUUCCUUGAACCGCAUGGUUCAAGGAUGAAAGACGGUUUCGGCUGUCACUUACAGAUGGACCCGCGGCGCAUUAGCUAGUUGGUGAGGUAACGGCUCACCAAGGCGACGAUGCGUAGCCGACCUGAGAGGGUGAUCGGCCACACUGGGACUGAGACACGGCCCAGACUCCUACGGGAGGCAGCAGUAGGGAAUCUUCCGCAAUGGACGAAAGUCUGACGGAGCAACGCCGCGUGAGUGAUGAAGGUUUUCGGAUCGUAAAGCUCUGUUGUUAGGGAAGAACAAGUGCAAGAGUAACUGCUUGCACCUUGACGGUACCUAACCAGAAAGCCACGGCUAACUACGUGCCAGCAGCCGCGGUAAUACGUAGGUGGCAAGCGUUGUCCGGAAUUAUUGGGCGUAAAGGGCUCGCAGGCGGUUUCUUAAGUCUGAUGUGAAAGCCCCCGGCUCAACCGGGGAGGGUCAUUGGAAACUGGGAAACUUGAGUGCAGAAGAGGAGAGUGGAAUUCCACGUGUAGCGGUGAAAUGCGUAGAGAUGUGGAGGAACACCAGUGGCGAAGGCGACUCUCUGGUCUGUAACUGACGCUGAGGAGCGAAAGCGUGGGGAGCGAACAGGAUUAGAUACCCUGGUAGUCCACGCCGUAAACGAUGA